GGACAACUUUACUUGUUUUAAAAGGGAGAACAUUCAUUUUUCAUUCACAUGUUCACUUACAACUCAAUAUGUACUACAUGGGAAAAAAAACACCCUGGGUUUUGAAGUAGUAAUUUAACAAAUCCUUAUCCGACGAAAAUCUGCGGUAGGAAGUAGCAAAAGAAAUGGAGUUCACACUGAGUGGAAAUGCGCUGAAGACAUUCACCCGAUCCAUCACGUGUCUUGCGCGCAUUGGCAAUGAGCUCGCCAUUCAAGCCUCUUCUACCAAGCUCACAUUUCACACUCUCAACUCCUCAAGGUCGGCCUAUCUAUCAAUUACGUUUAAACCUGGCUUUUUUGAUGUCUACACGGUUUUUGGUCCACAGAUGCAAUGUAGUGUGCUCUUGAAGGCCAUUUGUUCUGUAUUAAGAACACCAAUUGCCAGUAUAGAUCAUUUGACUGUGUUAUUGCCUAAUCCUGAUGCAUCAAAGGUGCAGUGGACACUGAACUGUCAUAAUGGUAUGAAAAAAGCUUACUGGAUUACGUGCGACGUUGAACCACACAUACAAAACCUAUCUCUUGAUAGGACAAAGCUUCCAAGCAACUUUGUGCUGAGGCCUCGUGAUCUGAACAGGUUAUUCUCCAACUUCCAAACAACUCUUCAGGAGAUCACAAUCAUUGCUACCAAUCCAACUUGCUUACCUCCUGAUGCUGCAACUGAAAUUGGAGGGAAAGCUGUUGAGCUCAGAAGUUAUAUAGACCCAACAAAAGAAAAUGAUUCAGCACUACAUACUCAGUUGUGGAUAGAUCCCACUGAAGAGUUUGUGCAGUACAAUCAUAUAGGAAGCCCUGUGGAUGUAACGUUUGGAGUGAAGGAAUCAAAGGCUUUCCUUUCUUUCUGUGAGGGAUGUGAAGUUGACAUACAAUUCUAUUUUGAUAAAGCUGGCGAGCCAAUUCUAGUGGUUCCAAAAUUUGGUUUAGAUGAUGGCUCCAACUCAACUUUUGAUGCCACCUUGAUGCUUGCAACCAUGCUUAUGUCACAGCUCUACACUGCAAGCUCUUCGGAGAAUCCACAAGUUGUUGGCACUUCCUAUGGGCAGGCUAAUGAUGGAAGACAGGCCCCAGUUCAGGAGAGGUCAAAAGGGAAUUCGGGGCUUACAUCUGACCAGACCAGGAUUUGGUCUGAUCUUUCAGGAAGCAGAACAAAAGGUGGCAAUGGUGCUGAACAUGGAGGAGAAAGAAAUGAGAACGAUAAUGAGCAAAGGGAACUUCAGCAAAUUGGUGCGAUGCAUAUAUCUGAAGCUGGAGCAGCUGGAAGAAAUAUGUCUGACAUUCAUAAUGACUUUCGUUGUGUUGACAAAAAUCCUUUGGAACAACCUCAAGGCAUGGUAUAUUUGGAUGGUCAUGCUUCUCAACACCAUCCUAGUAACUGGGUGGAUGCAGAUGAUGAUGAUGAUGAAGGAGAUGAGUCAGAGUUGUGUGUUCAAUCAACACCUCCAUAUCAUUAGGAAUACAACAGCUCAAGUUGUUCUAUAAUUCUAACAAGCAGUUUGUUUUUUAUGACCUCUGUUGUAGGGUGCAGUAUGUUUAGCACACCUAGCGUGCCUAAUAAAUGGGCAUGUUGAGCUUGGCUUAGGCCCUUGGUAAGCAGGAUUUUUGGCCAAUUGAAUUGCUGAAUUGUUGUCACUAAAGACUGAUAUGGGCAAAGUAAAGGGAAUCUUGAGUUCCUGGAACAAACCAACCAACCAGGUGAAAGAUUACUCAAGAAGUUAUGGAAAUGUUGUGGAUGCUUUUUGAAUACCUGGAAGGUAACUGAAGCGUAGCUUGUCAAUCAUCAAAUGGACGUUAUCCUGUGUCAUACAGUUUACAUUAGCAUGAUUGUAGUACAAGGCUUUCAUGCCAGGACGUCUCUCAGCUCGUCCUUUUAUUUCAGUUGACUAUUCUACUCUGAGAUAGUCAAAAUUAUCUUUCUAAAGGUUUGGUAAUGGUUAAUUCUAUAAUGGUAAUGAUGUAGGAGUUAAUUCUAUUUAGUUCAUUCUAUUGUUCUAUAAUCUAUAAAAUAUAAAAUAUCAUUUGAUUGCACUGUUUGGAUGGUUGUUGCAUAUGUUUCAUAAUGUAUUAUAAUAUCAUAUAAUUUGCUUUCUA